AGAUCGUCCAGGCAGAGUCCGAGAAGAGAUGAGCUGUGACGCGGUGACACAGUGAAGAAGGGGGAAGGAGACCAACAUCAUCUGAGUACCAGCUACACAUUAGAGAAUUUUCUGCCUUGACUUUUCACAUUCUCAUGAAAAGACCUUGGGACAGAUACUAUUAUCAGCCCAAGAUUAUGAACACAACAGAGAAAUGAAGACUUAGAGAGACGACUUGCUUGUACAUAUAACAAAUAUGUUUACCACACACGCACACAUACCAGGAGAUUUUAUUUUUGUUUCAACCUUAUUUAUGUUCA
rnacentral:lncRNA from 1 species